rnacentral:rRNA from 1 species
UACGGAGGGUGCAAGCGUUAUCCGGAUUUACUGGGUUUAAAGGGUGCGCAGGCGGAUAUGUAAGUCCGUGGUGAAAUCUCUAGGCUUAACCUGGAAAUUGCCGUUGAUACUAUAUAUCUUGAAUGUUGUGGAGGUAAGCAGAAUAUGUCAUGUAGCGGUGAAAUGCUUAGAUAUGACAUAGAAUACCUAUUGCGAAGGCAGCUUACUACGCAGAUAUUGACGCUCAUGCACGAAAGCGUGGGGAUCAAACAGG